GACUCAAACCCAAACAUUAAACAUGGUCCUUUUGAGGCCUUUAGAAACGAAGUGGCACCUCAAAAAUCUCCAAAAAUAAAGAAACACAGCUCUGGGCGGCCUCUUGGGCAUAUUAUAAAAUUGACUCAAGUCAGUAGCGAGCGAGAAAUCAUAAAGCGCGGACAUUUAAAUACGAGCAGUGAGCGACAAAUAGUCAGUCGGGAAAUAGUAAAACGAAAAGACAAUUUAAUUUGCAAAAAAAAACCAUUAAACGUGGGUGAAAAUUAUAAAUUAAACAAACAAACAAGACAAAUUACAAAAUUAAACACGAGUAAAAAGUUUGUGAAAAACCAAAAAAAAAUUUAAACGUUGCGAGCAACAACAUAUUUGCUUUGCGAUACCAAGGCAAAUCGAACAGUGUGGUGGAAUUACAAAAUUUUUAA